rnacentral:misc_RNA from 1 species
GAUGAAGAACGUAGCGAAAUGCGAUAAGUAAUGUGAAUUGCAGAAUUCAGUGAAUCAUCGAAUCUUUGAACGCGCAUUGCGCCCGCCAGUACUCUGGCGGGCAUGCCUGUUCGAGCGUCAUUUCAACCCUCGGGCCCCGCAUUCGAGCGGGCCCCGGCGUUGGGGACCGGCCUCCGCAUCGGACGGCCGCCCCCGAAACCCAGUGGCGGUCCCGCCGCGGCCUUCUCUGCGUAGUAGCAUACACCUCGCACUGGAGAGCGGCGCGGCCACGCCGUAAAAGAAACGAACUUUCUGAAGGUUGACCUCGGAUCAGGUAGGAAUACCCGCUGAACUUAAGCAUAUCAAUAAGCGGAGGA